rnacentral:rRNA from 1 species
GAUGAACGCUAGCGGCAGGCUUAAUACAUGCAAGUCGUGGGGCAGCGCAGGUAGCAAUACUGGGCGGCGACCGGCAAACGGGUGCGGAACACGUACACAACCUUCCGAGAAGUGGGGAAUAGCCCAGAGAAAUUUGGAUUAAUACCCCGUAACAUAACGAUGUGGCAUCACAUUGUUAUUAUAGCUUCGGCGCUUCUUGAUGGGUGUGCGGCUGAUUAGAUAGUUGGCGGGGUAACGGCCCACCAAGUCUACGAUCAGUAGCUGAUGUGAGAGCAUGAUCAGCCACACGGGCACUGAGACACGGGCCCGACUCCUACGGGAGGCAGCAGUAAGGAAUAUUGGUCAAUGGACGCAAGUCUGAACCAGCCAUGCCGCGUGAAGGAUUAAGGUCCUCUGGAUUGUAAACUUCUUUUAUCUGGGACGAAAAAAGACGAUUAUUCGUCACUUGACGGUACCAGAGGAAUAAGCACCGGCUAACUCCGUGCCAGCAGCCGCAGUAAGAC